GCUGUCGCUUAUAGAUGGACCCGCGCCGUAUUAGCUAGUUGGUAAGGUAACGGCUUACCAAGGCAACGAUACGUAGCCGACCUGAGAGGGUGAUCGGCCACACUGGAACUGAGACACGGUCCAGACUCCUACGGGAGGCAGCAGUAGGGAAUCUUCCGCAAUGGGCGAAAGCCUGACGGAGCAACGCCGCGUGAGUGAUGAAGGUCUUAGGAUCGUAAAACUCUGUUGUUAGGGAAGAACAAAUUUGUUAGUAACUGAACAAGUCUUGACGGUACCUAACCAGAAAGCCACGGCUAACUACGUGCCAGCAGCCGCGGUAAUACGUAGGUGGCAAGCGUUAUCCGGAAUUAUUGGGCGUAAAGCGCGCGUAGGCGGUUUCUUAAGUCUGAUGUGAAAGCCCACGGCUCAACCGUGGAGGGUCAUUGGAAACUGGGGAACUUGAGUGCAGAAGAGGAGAGUGGAAUUCCAUGUGUAGCGGUGAAAUGCGCAGAGAUAUGGAGGAACACCAGUGGCGAAGGCGGCUCUCUGGUCUGUAACUGACGCUGAUGUGCGAAAGCGUGGGGAUCAACCAGGAAAGGGAUACCCUGGUAGUCCACGCCGUAAACGAUCCUCCAAAGGGUAGGGGGUUUCCGCCCCUUAGUGCUGCAGCUAACGCAUUAAGCACUCCGCCUGGGGAGUACGACCGCAAGGUUGAAACUCAAAGAAUUGAGGGGGCACCCGCACAGGGGGGGGAGCAUGUGUUUUAUUAGAAGCAACGCGAAGAACCUUACCAAAUCUUGACAUCCUUUGACCGCUCUAGAGAUAGAGUUUUCCCCUUCGGGGGACAAAGUGACAGGUGGUGCAUGGUUGUCGUCAGCUCGUGUCGUGAGAUGUUGGGUUAAGUCCCGCAACGAGCGCAACCCUUAAGCUUAGUUGCCAUCAUUAAGUUGGGCACUCUAGGUUGACUGCCGGUGACAAACCGGAGGAAGGUGGGGAUGACGUCAAAUCAUCAUGCCCCUUAUGAUUUGGGCUACACACGUGCUACAAUGGAUAAUACAAAGGGCAGCGAACCCGCGAGGUCAAGCAAAUCCCAUAAAAUUAUUCUCAGUUCGGAUUGUAGUCUGCAACUCGACUACAUGAAGCUGGAAUCGCUAGUAAUCGUAGAUCAGCAUGCUACGGUGAAUACGUUCCCGGGUCUUGUACACACCGCCCGUCACACCACGAGAGUUUGUAACACCCGAAGCCGGUGGAGUAACAUUUUAUUAGGAGCUAGCCGUCGAAGGUGGGACAGAUGAUUAGGGUGAAGUCGUAACAAGGUAACC
rnacentral:rRNA from 1 species